AUUCCAGCUCUAAUAGCGUAUAUUAAUGUUGUUGCAGUUAAAAAGCUCGUAGUUGGAUUUUGGAGUUUGACAAGUGGUCUGCCUAAGGUGUGUACUGCUUGUCGGCUCUUCUUUUCUGGGGACCACGCUGCUCUUUAUUGAGGGGUGCUGGGAAUCAGAUCUUUUACUUUGAAAAAAUUAGAGUGUUCAAAGCAGGCCCACGCAUUGAAUACAUUAGCAUGGAAUAAUGGAAUAGGACUUUGGUCUUAUUUUGUUGGUUUCUAGAGCUGAGGUAAUGAUUGAUAUGGAUAGUUGGGGGCAUUCGUAUUUAACUGUCAGAGGUGAAAUUCUUGGAUUUAUUAAAGACGGACUACUGCGAAAGCAUUUGCCAAGGAUGUUUUCAUCA
rnacentral:rRNA from 1 species